rnacentral:rRNA from 1 species
GACGAACGCUGGCGGCGUGGAUUAGGCAUGCAAGUCGGACGGUAGAGCUUUAUCGUAAGAUAGAGUUUGAGAGUGGCGAACGGGUGAGUAACACGUAGGAAUCUACCCUUAAGACGGGGACAACCCAGGGAAACUUGGGCUAAUACCGGAUGAGAGUGCGAGAGAUUGCAUUUAAAAGGAUGGCGAAAGUUGUCGCUUAGGGAUGAGCCUGCGGUCUAUUAGUUAGUUGGUGAGGUAAGAGCUCACCAAGGCGAUGAUAGAUAGGCGGCCUUAACGGGUGGUCGCCCACACUGGGAUUGAGAUACGGCCCAGACUCCUACGGGAGGCAGCAGUCGAGAAUAGUCUACAAUGGCCGGAAGGCUGAUAGUGCGACGCCGCGUGAAACGAGGGAGCCCUUCGGGGUGGUAAAGUUACGUUUUCUUAUACGAAGCAGUGCUAUAUAUAUGGAUAGUAUAAUAUAGAGGGAUAAGUAGUAUAGGAAUAAGCAACGGCUAAACUCCGUCGCAGCACG